CCCUAGUACGAGAGGACCGGGAUGGACGAAUCCCUGGUGUACCAGUUGUCUCGCCAGAGGCUAGCUGGAUAGCUAUAUUCGGAGCGGAUAAGCGCUGAAAGCAUCUAAGCGCGAAACCGGCCUCAAGAUGAGAUUUCCCACAGUGAAAGCUGGUAAGACCCCUGAAGGACGAGCAGGGAGAGAGGCCCGGGGUGGAAGGAGUGUGAGGUGUGGAGCUGACGGGUACAAAUCGGUCGAGGGCUCGACCAA
rnacentral:rRNA from 1 species